UCCGGCUUAACGCCGGCAGUCUCCCUAGAGUGCCCAACUGAAUGGUGGCAACUAAGGACGAGGGUUGCGCUCGUUGCGGGACUUAACCCAACACCUCACGGCACGAGCUGACGACAGCCAUGCAGCACCUGAACCGGCAGUCCCCGAAGGGAAAAUCCUAUCUCUAGGACAGUCCGCCGUUGUCUAGCCCAGGUAAGGUUCUUCGCGUUGCAUCGAAUUGAGCCACAUACUCCACCGCUUGUGCAGGCCCCCGUCAAUUUCUUUGAGUUUUAAUCUUGCGACCGUACUCCCCAGGCGGCACGUUUAACGCGAGGAAGGUGGGGAUGACGUUCGUCUGAC
rnacentral:misc_RNA from 1 species